rnacentral:rRNA from 1 species
ACGGAGGGUGCAAGCGUUGUCCGGAUUUAUUGGGUUUAAAGGGUGCGUAGGCGGGCCUUUAAGUCAGUGGUGAAAGCCUGCAGCUUAACUGUAGAACUGCCAUUGAUACUGGAGGCCUUGAGUGUACUAGAGGUAGGCGGAAUUUAUGGUGUAGCGGUGAAAUGCAUAGAUACCAUAAAGAACACCGAUAGCGUAGGCAGCUUACUGGAGUACAACUGACGCUGAGGCACGAAAGCAUGGGGAGCGAACAGG